CGUGUAGGCGGUUUGGUAAGUCUGAUGUGAAAGCCCCGGGCUCAACCUGGGAAGUGCAUUGGAAACUGUCAGACUUGAAUACGGGAGAGGGUAGUGGAAUUCCUGGUGUAGGAGUGAAAUCCGUAGAUAUCAGGAGGAACACCGGUGGCGAAGGCGGCUGCCUGGACCGAUAUUGACGCUGAGACGCGAAAGCGUGGGUAGCAAACAGGAUUAGAUACCCUGGUAGUCCACGCCGUAAACGAUGAGUACUAGGUGUUGCGGGUAUUGACCCCUGCAGUGCCGCAGCUAACGCAUUAAGUACUCCGCCUGGGAAGUACGGUCGCAAGACUAAAA
rnacentral:rRNA from 1 species